UGGGAAGACAGGCAGCACUUAAAGUAGAUGGCCCUAGCUAGCAAAAAGACAGUACUAGACAACAACAGUUGAAGACCAAAAUUAUACUUACCACUCCUCCUCCUAUUCACCUCAGAGCCUAAAACUUUUGAUACAUUUAUGCUCCUCACACACGUUGCUCUCAAGACCUACAUGCCGCUAAUCUUAACAUCUGUCCAUCGUGAAGAGUGUGGACCACUGAUGAUGUCAUACUAUUUCAUAUGUACCCAUGUUGUGACAUCACACUACAUAGAAAAGGAGAGGAGUCAGUCAGCAUCCUGAACAUUGAUACUGCUCCUAUCUACAUUAUCCACUGUGAAAUGAUCAAUCAGUUUUAAAAACACUUGCAAUGAUGAGUAUUGGCCAAAUGUUGCCCAAAAUAUCAGAUAAAAUUACAUUGCAGCCAACAACAAUAUACGCUAUCUUGUAUAAUCUAUUGAGGACAUCUAUUGAUUCAGUGAUAUGUAACUUUUUGUGUGACACAAGCAAAUUCACAGCGAAAUUGAAGUUUUAGAGCUGUCAUUCUCAUUGAAAGCAAGUCAAAGAAGCACUACAUCUGUUCUAUGUGCACUAUUUAUAUGCUUCCCGGUCUGAAGUUUUGUUUUUGCAUACUUCAAUUUUGUACAGCAGCUUCAAACAGCUUGAAAAUACAAUAUUUUUGGUUAUGGAAAAGAUAUUUCAUAGCGGUUUAGAUGGUACAAUGAUUCUCUACAAUAUACUUCUCUACAUUAAACUGAAAUUACA